CGAACGCUGGCGGCGUGCUUCCCACAUGCAAGUCGCACGGAAAGGCCCUGCUUUUGUGGGGUGCUCGAGUGGCGAACGGGUGAGUAACACGUGAGUAACCUGCCCUUGACUUUGGGAUAACUUCAGGAAACUGGGGCUAAUACCGGAUAGGAGCUCCUGCUGCAUGGUGGGGGUUGGAAAGUUUCGGCGGUUGGGGAUGGACUCGCGGCUUAUCAGCUUGUUGGUGGGGUAGUGGCUUACCAAGGCUUUGACGGGUAGCCGGCCUGAGAGGGUGACCGGCCACAUUGGGACUGAGAUACGGCCCAGACUCCUACGGGAGGCAGCAGUGGGGAAUAUUGCACAAUGGGCGGAAGCCUGAUGCAGCAACGCCGCGUGCGGGAUGACGGCCUUCGGGUUGUAAACCGCUUUCGCCUGUGACGAAGCGUGAGUGACGGUAAUGGGUAAAGAAGCACCGGCUAACUACGUG
rnacentral:rRNA from 1 species